rnacentral:rRNA from 1 species
GACGAACGCUGGCGGCGUGCCUAAUACAUGCAAGUCGAGCGCAGGAAGCCGUCUGAACCCUUCGGGGGGACGACGGUGGAAUGAGCGGCGGACGGGUGAGUAACACGUAAAGAACCUGCCCAUAGGUCUGGGAUAACCACGAGAAAUCGGGGCUAAUACCGGAUGUGUCAUCGGACCGCAUGGUCCGCUGAUGAAAGGCGCUUCGGCGUCGCCCAUGGAUGGCUUUGCGGUGCAUUAGCUAGUUGGUGGGGUAACGGCCCACCAAGGCGACGAUGCAUAGCCGACCUGAGAGGGGGAUCGGCCACACUGGGACUGAGACACGGCCCAGACUCCUACGGGAGGCAGCAGUAGGGAAUCUUCCACAAUGGGCGAAAGUCUGAUGGAGCAACGCCGCGUGAACGAUGAAGGCUUUCGGGUCGUAAAGUUCUGUUGUAAGGGAAGAACAAGUGCCGCAGGCAAUGGCGGCACCUUGACGGUACCUUGCGAGAAAGCCACGGCUAACUACGUGCCAGCCGCCGCCGUAAGAC